rnacentral:rRNA from 1 species
GAUGAACGCUGGCGGCGUGCUUAACACAUGCAAGUCGAACGGGAAUUACUUUAUUGAAACUUCGGUCGAUUUAAUUUAAUUCUAGUGGCGGACGGGUGAGUAACGCGUGGGUAACCUGCCUUAUACAGGGAGAUAACAGUCAGAAAUGACUGCUAAUACCGCAUAAGCGCACGGAACCGCAUGGUUCUGUGUGAAAAACUCCGGUGGUAUAGGAUGGACCCGCGUUGGAUUAGCUAGUUGGUGAGGUAACGGCCCACCAAGGCGACGAUUGGUAGCCGGACUGAGAGGUUGAACGGCCACAUUGGGACUGAGACACGGCCCAGACUCCUACGGGAGGCAGCAGUGGGGGAUAUUGCACAAUGGGGGAAACCCUGGGUGCAGCGACGCCGCGUGGAGGAAGAA